rnacentral:lncRNA from 10 species
UGGGAUGUGAGGAGCCCCUCUGCCUGGCUGCCCAGUCUGGAAAGUGAGGAGCGUCUCUGCCCAGCCGCCAUCCCAUCUAGGAAGUGAGGAGCGCCUCUUCCCGGCCGCCAUCACAUCUAGGAAGUGCGGAGCCUCUCUGCCCGGCCACCCAUCGUCUGAGAUGUGGGGAGCGCCUCUGCCCUGUCGCCCCGUCCGGGAUGUCUAUGUAUUCCUGUGCUUACCUUGUGCGUGCGUGAUGCAUGGAUGUUGCUGCUAGGGGACAUUCAUAUGGACCUAAGUGUCAAGAACACUGGGAGCCAAUAGAUCCAUUUGGACCCAUUUUGGGGACUAAAUGCAGGUUUCAUACCUCAAGCCUCUACAAGAAGAUAAGAAACCCCCACAAAGAAACACUGAGCGCAUGCCCAGAGACCCAGAGACCGGCCGAAGCCAAAGCCAGUGGUUCUCAGA